AUUGAACGCUGGCGGCAGGCCUAACACAUGCAAGUCGAACGGUAACAGGAAGAAGCUUGCUUCUUUGCUGACGAGUGGCGGACGGGUGAGUAAUGUCUGGGAAACUGCCUGAUGGAGGGGGAUAACUACUGGAAGCGGUAGCUAAUACCGCAUAACGUCGCAAGACCAAAGAGGGGGACCUUCGGGCCUCUUGCCAUCGGAUGUUCCCAGAUGGGAUUAGCUAGUAGGUGGGGUAACGGCUCACCUAGGCGACGAUCCCUAGCUGGUCUGAGAGGAUGACCAGCCACACUGGAACUGAGACACGGUCCAGACUCCUACGGGAGGCAGCAGUGGGGAAUAUUGCACAAUGGGCGCAAGCCUGAUGCAGCCAUGCCGCGUGUAUGAAGAAGGCCUUCGGGUUGUAAAGUACUUUCAGCGGGGAGGAAGGGAGUAAAGUUAAUACCUUUGCUCAUUGACGUUACCCGCAGAAGAAGCACCGGCUAACUCCGUG
rnacentral:rRNA from 1 species